GAUUAUGGCUCAGGACGAACGCUGGCGGCGUGCUUAACACAUGCAAGUCGAGCGAUGAAGCUCCUUCGGGAGUGGAUUAGCGGCGGACGGGUGAGUAACACGUGGGUAACCUGCCUCAUAGAGGGGAAUAGCCUUUCGAAAGGAAGAUUAAUACCGCAUAAGAUUGUAGUACCGCAUGGUACAGCAAUUAAAGGAGUAAUCCGCUAUGAGAUGGACCCGCGUCGCAUUAGCUAGUUGGUGAGGUAACGGCUCACCAAGGCGACGAUGCGUAGCCGACCUGAGAGGGUGAUCGGCCACAUUGGGACUGAGACACGGCCCAGACUCCUACGGGAGGCAGCAGUGGGGAAUAUUGCACAAUGGGGGAAACCCUGAUGCAGCCAACGCCGCGUGAGUGAUGACGGUCUUCGGAUUGUAAAGCUCUGUCUUUAGGGACGAUAAUGACGGUACCUAAGGAGGAAGCCACGGCUAACUACGUGCCAGCAGCAGC
rnacentral:rRNA from 1 species